UAAAGUGGCGCACGGGUGAGUAACACGUGACUAACCUACCCUGGAGUGGGGAAUAACUGAGGGAAACCUUAGCUAAUACCGCAUAACACCUACGGGUCAAAGGAGCAAUUCGCUUCAGGAGGGGGUCGCGGCAGAUUAGCUAGUUGGCGGGGUAAUGGCCCACCAAGGCAGUGAUCUGUAUCCGGCCUGAGAGGGCGCACGGACACACUGGAACUGAAACACGGUCCAG
rnacentral:rRNA from 1 species